AAGUCGUAACAAGGUUUCCGUAGGUGAACCUGCGGAAGGAUCAUUAUCAAUUUGAUUCAUUCAACAUCUUGUGAACCCUAACACUGAAUCCCACUGCUUUGGGGAAGUUUUCUUGCUUGGUCAUAUUGCGAUAAGUAAUGAUGGCUAAGAAAGACAGUUUGUGUUUGUCUUCGGACAGCACAGCGGCUUCCCCAGAGUAUGGCUAAAUUUAUUCUUUGCUUUUAAAUAUGGCUAAAUAUCUUGUUGAUUAUUAAUGAGCAUCAGGUAAUGCUGGCUUGUGAAUCAACUACAAAGUUUUUACAACUUUCAGCAAUGGAUCUCUCGGCUCUU
rnacentral:misc_RNA from 1 species